CUUUCAGAAAACCAAGCAAAUUAUUAAACAAAAAUGACAUCAUCUUGUGCUUCUCCGUAGUUGACAAGACUGUCUACAAGAAAGAGGAAGGACCUACCUUAUGUAAACAAGAUGCAUCUGCAAAGCAAAGGUGAAAACCUGCCUAUCUCAGUCUUUUUGUGAGACUUGGUUGUCACUUGGGGAGAAGUUCACAAACGGAAUGUGCCAGAAUAUGAACAGUAGCUGUAUGGUUGGUGGCUGUGGCAGUUAGAAUGUGUUUAUCUGACUAGUUUGCAAGAGGCUACUUUUUCCAGUUACAUGCUUGGCAUUUUUGACAUACUCCUCUGAUGGACAACAUUUUGGACAGAUAAAUAGCGUGAAAACAGUUUCUGGCAAUGGAUGCAGUGAAGGAAGUAGAGCCUUGGGGUAUAAACACACCAGGCAAAUUGCACUUGGUGGUUUCUAUACAAAUGAGCACCGUAAGUACUUAAAAGCAGAGAACAGAAAGUGGUGAUUGAACUGGUCUCCACAAGGGGAGUUUGGCUGCUUUCAGGAGUGGUAUUUUGGUAUUUGUUCUU
rnacentral:lncRNA from 1 species